GGUGAGGUGCGAGAGUGGUUGAAUCGGGCGGUCUCGAAAACCGUUGAACUCGAAAGGGUUCCGUGGGUUCGAAUCCCACCCUCACCGCCA
rnacentral:tRNA from 1 species